CAGAGUUGCAAGACUCCCUAAACCAUUGUGAACCUACCUUCUACCGUUGCUUCGGCGGGCGGGCCCAGCGCCCCCCCCGGCCCCCCGCGGGCGCCCGCCGGAGGAUACCCAAACUCUUGACAUUAGUGGCUCUCUGAGUAUUCUUUACUGAAUAAGUCA
rnacentral:misc_RNA from 1 species